UACGUAGGGUGCAAGCGUUGUCCGGAAUUAUUGGGCGUAAAGAGCUCGUAGGCGGUCUGUCGCGUCGGCUGUGAAAUCCCGAGGCUCAACCUCGGGUCUGCAGUCGAUACGGGCAAACUGGAGUGUUGCAGGGGAGACUGGAAUUCCGGGUGUAGUGGUGAAAUGCGUAGAGAUCCGGAGGAACCCCAGAGGCGAAGGCGGCGCCCUGGCUCGCAACUGACGCUCAGACACGACAGCAUGGGGAGCGAACGGG
rnacentral:rRNA from 1 species